GCAGGGCCCGCGCGCCGCUCCCGGGGACGGGAACCGGGCUCGGCAGGGAGGAAAGGGAAUAGCGCUGUCCCGGAACCUGGCGGGACCACACAACCAUACUUAAGGAGUCGGAGUGGACGUUAUACUGUUUCCAAUCUAGUUGCAACUCCCUGCCACUGGCCAGGGCACCUUCCACUAGACCAGUUUGUACCCAUUACUCCAUGUCCUAUCGCUACUCCAGUUCCUGACAGCGUCCCUCUCUGGCUUCCCUAUAGCUCCCCUUCAGAUAUUGGAAGGUUGCCAUGAGAUCUUCACACAAACUUCUCCAGGCCUGAAGAGCCCCAACUUUCUCAGUCUCUUGUCAUAGGAGUUGAGGCACCAGGAGGAGUAAGGGAAUACAACAAUCCCAGGACAGCCAGCCCUGGCCCUGCUGUCACGGUUGUGGCACUCCUCCCGAGAGGCAGCUGAAAUGCUCACUGAGCCCAGGGCCUGAAGGUCAAGGUCUCACUUGCUCUCACCCAGUGCCAGGGGAAGCCAACAAACUCCACAGUGGGUGGCUGUUGCCUAGCAAGGUCCUUGUCUUGCCCUGCCCUCUACCAUCUCACCCUUGAAAGCUUUCUUCAAGAAGCAGCAGUGGGGUUUUUUUUCUGUGUAGUUUUCUUAGAUCUCUGCACCACAGUGAAUUUUAAAGCUUUUGCAUCAAGAAAUAAAAGCAUGGAGAUACCAUUGUGAACCACAAGCACGUUAAUUGCUCAUGGACCAGACUCCUUACAUAGGUUUGGCUUUGAUAAGUAUCUACUGUUAUUAUACCAACCAAUAUUCCUUUUUUUAAUAUAUAAAAAUGCAAAUUUAUCCUCAAAAUAAAUAAACAGUAUAUCUUAGUCAAAGCUAAGUCUGUCAUAUGUUAAGCAUAUUGCCAAAAGCACAGUGGUGUAAUGCAAAAUGGAUGCUAUGCCUGGUUGUAGGCAGCUCUUUGAAAUCAUCUAGGUGAAACCAAAGAUUCUACAAAAUACAGAAAAUGUGUAUCUUGGGACAUGGAAUAGAAUUUGUGUUCUUAAUUUGCUAAUGAACUCAGAUAAUUAGCCACUAUAGCAGGUUGAGAGGGGCAGGAUAUAGGUCAUGUUAUUAAACAACUUUAAUACAUAAAUAAAUAAAAUCAAUGCUGCCCUUGUGCUCAAGGGGAAAAAAAGGCAGUUUUUAAGUGAAGAAUCAGAGUGAAAUGCUUUAGAAAUUCCCCCCAGGCCUUUCUAUGUACAUUGUAGCAGAGCUAAAAAAAAAUAAAAACCCCCCAGAAAAUAGAAAAUUCAAAGCCUAGCUUGCAUUUCCAGCCCCCUUUUCAGGUCAUUUUGAAAGGUUGUUUAAACAGCUUUCCCUCCCCUUAGCCCCCAGAGGGCCUAAGACACUUCAGUCAGAGCUUUCCAUACUGCACAGCUCCAAAGGAAAGUGCUACAGUAGACCAUUGCAAAGCACUGUAGGCACAAAACUAAAGAAACUAGUAACAAAACACGACUAAAUAGUAAUCUCUGCUGUUCCAAACACUGACACCCUCCCCCCCCGCCAAAAACAUUAAAUACUGCAUGAUUUUCCAUUUUUAAUAAAACACCUCCACCACCCAAAAUGCCAGACAUGGACCAGACCUUCCAGGCUCAAUUAAACAACCUGUUAAUGACAUCAAUAUUUCUCUGUAUUUCAUCUGUGCUCCCCUUGUUCCAAGGCCUGUAUGCUCAGCUAGGACUGGCGACACUGAGACUUGCACAGUUGGCAGAAGACACUGAUCACCAUCAAGGUUUUUGCUGCUGUGCUUUGUAAACCUUGUCAUUGGGUCUGGCUGCAAUGAAAGCAGCAUUGCCCAGAGCCACCCCAAUGCAACAGAUUUCCCUGAGCAAGGGCUUUGCAAAGGAGGGAUGAAAAAGUGUUCUACAACACAACCACAGUCCUCAAGAGUGUGAAUUUCUACAAGGGAAAGAGGAAAAAAGAAUCAAAAAAACACAGUGCCUUUCAGGGAGUCUUUGUAGACUACAACAAAACUAGAUGAAAAAGCUGCACUUGGAAAAUAUUUAACAGAAGCCAUUACCAUUCGCUAUGUUGAGAGGGUAACAAUCAACACUGUAUUAUGAUUCCUGGAUAAAGGACCUUUUACAUCUUGGCCUUUAAUGAAUGCUGAAGUAUCUCCAUGUUCUGGUUUUUCGUUUGUCCUGUGCUCGCUGUUUCCAAGUCACACAAACGCCACCCCGAUUGACAAAGCCCCAGCCAGGGCCAUUUGUCAGCGUGCACAGGAACACACAAUGUUUUCAUCAGUGCAUCCUUUUACCAUUCUGGCAAAUCUGCAGUUUGCACUUGGGUGACGUGGAAAUGACACAACUCUUCCAACA